rnacentral:tRNA from 1 species
GAAACGGGACAUUCAAGUAAAAGCUUCUAACUUUUAACUUAAGCGAUGAAACUUCGUUUACGUUUCU